rnacentral:rRNA from 1 species
GCCUGAGAGGGUGACCGGCCACACUGGGACUGAGAUACGGCCCAGACUCCUACGGGAGGCAGCAGUGGGGAAUAUUGCACAAUGGGCGCAAGCCUGAUGCAGCGACGCCGCGUGAGGGAUGACGGCCUUCGGGUUGUAAACCUCUUUCGCCAGGGACGAAGCGCAAGUGACGGUACCUGGAGAAGAAGGACCGGCCAACUACGUGCCAGCAGCCGCGGUAAUACGUAGGGUCCGAGCGUUGUCCGGAAUUACUGG